rnacentral:rRNA from 1 species
GAUGAACGCUGGCGGCGUGCCUAAUACAUGCAAGUCGAGCGAACAGACGAGGAGCUUGCUCCUCUGACGUUAGCGGCGGACGGGUGAGUAACACGUGGAUAACCUACCUAUAAGACUGGGAUAACUUCGGGAAACCGGAGCUAAUACCGGAUAACAUGUUGAACCGCAUGGUUUAACAGUGAAAGACGGUCUUGCUGUCACUUAUAGAUGGAUCCGCGCCGCAUUAGCUAGUUGGUAAGGUAACGGCUUACCAAGGCAACGAUGCGUAGCCGACCUGAGAGGGGGAUCGGCCACACUGGAACUGAGACACGGUCCAGACUCCUACGGGAGGCCGCAGUAGGGAAUCUUCCGCAAUGGGCGAAAGCCUGACGGAGCAACGCCGCGUGAGUGAAGAAGGUCUUCGGAUCGUAAAACUCUGUUAUUAGGGAAGAACAAAUGUGUAAGUAACUAUGCACGUCUUGACGGUACCUAAUCAGAAAGCCACGGCUAACUACGUG